ACCUGCAGUCGAGCGGUACAGAGAUAGCUUGCUAUCUGCUGACGAGCGGCGGACGGGUGAGUAAUGCUUGGGAAUAUGCCUUAUGGUGGGGGACAACAGUUGGAAACGACUGCUAAUACCGCAUAACGUCUACGGACCAAAGGGGGGGAUCUUCGGACCUCUCGCCAUUUGAUUAGCCCAAGUGAGAUUAGCUAGUUGGUGAGGUAAUGGCUCACCAAGGCGACGAUCUCUAGCUGGUUUGAGAGGAUGAUCAGCCACACUGGGACUGAGACACGGCCCAGACUCCUACGGGAGGCAGCAGUGGGGAAUAUUGCACAACGGGCGAAAGCCUGAUGCAGCCAUGCCGCGUGUGUGAAGAAGGCCUUCGGGUUGUAAAGCACUUUCAGUUGUGAGGAAAGGGGUGUAGUUAAUAGCUGCAUCCUGUGACGUUAACAACAGAAGAAGCACCGGCUAACUGCGUGCGAGCAGCCGCGGUAAUACGGAGGGUGCGAGCGUUAAUCGGAAUUACUGGGCGUAAAGCGUGCGUAGGCGGUUUGUUAAGCAAGGUGUGAAAGCCCAGGGCUCAACCUUGGAACUGCAUUUUGAACUGGCAAACUAGAGUACUGUAGAGGGUGGUGGAAUUUCCAGUGUAGCGGUGAAAUGCGUAGAGAUUGGAAGGAACAUCAGUGGCGAACGCGGCCACCUGGACAGAUACUGACGCUGACGCACGA
rnacentral:rRNA from 1 species